rnacentral:rRNA from 1 species
CCUACGGGUGGCAGCAGUGGGGAAUAUUGCACAAUGGGGGGAACCCUGAUGCAGCGACGCCGCGUGAGUGAAGAAGUCUUUCGGUAUGUAAAGCUCUAUCAGUAGGGAAGAAAAUGACGGUACAUGUCUAAGUAGCCCCGGCCAACUACGUGCCAGCAGCCGCGGUACUACGUAGGGGGCAAUCGUUAUCCGGAUUUACUGGGUGUAAAGGGAGCGCAGACGGCUGUGCAAGUGUGGAGUGAAAGGCGGGGGCCCAACCCCCGGACUGCUCUGGAAACUGUAAAGCUGGAGUGCAGGAGAGGUAAGCGGAAUUCCUAGUGUAGCGGUGAAAUGCGUAGAUAUUAGGAGGAACACCAGUGGCGAAGGCAGCUUACUGGACUGCAACUGACGUUGAGGCUCGAAAGCGUGGGGAGCAAACAGGAUUAGAUACCCCAGUAGUC